UACGAUUCGACACAGUUUUAUUAUUAUUUCAAAAUUAACCAAUGAAAUUAUGUAUUGUAAUUAUUUUUACUGAAUUGGUUGCUGAAAUAAAUUCGUAUUAAAAAAAAACAAUAAAACGAAAAUCUAACAGCGUGUUUCUUGUAACAUGAUAUUGAUCAAGUCGAUUAUUAUUAAUAGAAUAAAUUCUAACAUCAUGAAGAAUUUUAUGGAAAAAAAGCUAUUAAAAGUCUCCCCCGGGAGUGGGAUGCAGGAGAACACCAUAAAUAAGUUACCGUUUUAUGGUUUCCCGCCAAAAAAAUGGACAAAAAGCUUAUAAUUUUUUUGUGUAUGUGUAAAAGGAAGUCUAGAGAAAAUGCAUAUUUAGCACGUUUGUUACCUAAACGUCUCAAAUAAGAGGAUAUUCUGAAGGCGGCCCUAUGUAUGUGCGAGGUAGAACGUCAGAUUGUCCAUUUCUAGCAAUGUUGCUCAAUUGGCUAAAAACGAACUUCUCCCUUGGAGAGGUUUUGGUGCCUUAAAGUCCUCUAAGAUUUUUUUAAAUUUCUUUUAAUAGAUAUGAAACAGACUGAUGGGUAGCUUCUCUGGUUAGUUGGAAACUCCCUUCAAUCGUUACACGCAUCGAAAACGGUUCAAUAAUGAAAGACGUUUAUUGCCUCGAAAAUUGGGGUUAUGUCUCGUGUCAAAAGUGGUGGAGGCAUCAUGACGUAUCGGAAUGUUGGAAAACAGUCUUCGCAAGUGGUCC